UUUGCAUCUCCAGGUGGGCCAGAGGAGUGUGGUGGAGAAGGUGGGAGGAGGGGGUUGACCAAAGACACCUUUGGUAAGCAAGAAGAGGGGGUGUGCUUUUCCUGGCACAAUUCUUUUUUUUUUUGAAAUGUUUCACUCUUGUUGCCCAGGCUGGAAUGCAGGGGCAUGAUCCGCCCCCUGGGUUCAAGCGAUUCUCCUGCCUCAGGCUCCCAAAUAGCUGGGAUUACAGGCAUGUGUCACCACACCCGGCUAAUUUUUCUGUUUUUAUUAGAGAUGGUGUUUCUCCAUAUUGGUCAUGGUGGUCUCAAACUCCCGACCUCAGGUGAUUGCCCGCCUCCCAAAGUGUUGGGAUUACAGGCGUGAGCCACCACACCCGACCCACAGUUCUUUUUUUUUUUUUUUUUUUUGAGAUGCAGUUUCACUCUGCCACUCAGGCUGGAGUGUAGUGGCAUGAUCUUGGCUCACUGCAGCCACCACCUCCUGGGUUCAAGCAAUUCUCCUGCCUCAGCCUCCCAAGUAGCUGAGACUACAGAUGCCCGCCACCACACCCAGCUAAUUUUUUGUGGGGUUUUUUUGUUUUGUCUUGUUUUGAGAUGGAGUCUUGCUCUGUCACCCAGGCUAGAGUGCAGUGGCGCGAUGUUGGCUCACUGCAGCCACCACUACCCGGGUUCAAGCAAUUCUCCUGCCUCAGCCUCCUGAGUAGCUGGGAUUACAGGCAUCCGCCACACGCCCAGCUAAUUUUUGUAUUUUUUAGGAGAGAUGGGGUUUCACCAUGUUGGCCAGGCUGGUCUCGAACUCCUGACCUCAGGUGAUCCACCUGCCUCUGCCUCCCACAGUGCUGGGAUUACAGGCAUGAGCCACCGCGCCCGGCCUUCCUGGCACAAUUUUAUAGACACAUCUGUUUGUUUGUUUUGUGAAUACAAAACCAAUAUUUAAUCUGAAACUGAUUUUGUCCAUGCCACCCAGCAUGUUCAGCAGAGGUUAUCUUGUGUUCAGAUAAAACUCACCUUAAUGCUAUUUCCUGUUGCGUGUACUUUGGAAGGUGUUAAGUGUUUUUCCAAAAUGAAAUUUGAAAGCAAAAUGGAUAUGACCUUUGGAUUGCCAGUGUCAUUGCUUCACCCUCUUCAUUUAUUGAAAACUGCCUGACUUUGUCCCCUGCCUGGCAAUGUUUCUGCUGAGGGACUCCAAAACUGUUAGUAAGUGGCAGAGCUAGAACUCAAAGCCUGGUCUUAAUCAGGUGGGUGACAUAACAAAGUUACUUCACUUCUCUGGUCUCAUCGGUAGAUUCAAAGUCUUGCCUUUCCUGCAUUAUGUGGUAAAAAGAAUAAAAUUAAAAUAGGCUUAUGAAAGUGUUUUGCAAAAUUGAAAGUGCUGUACAAAUACAGGAUGACACUAUUUGCUCCAGUGUCUACGCUUUGGUAACCAUUCUUGGUCUCUCUCCAGGGAUCAAGUUUGUGGUUCUAGCAGAUCCUAGGCAAGCUGGAAUAGAUUCUCUUCUCCGAAAGAUUUAUGAGAUUUACUCAGACUUUGCCCUCAAGAAUCCAUUCUAUUCCUUAGAAAUGCCUAUCAGGUGUGAGCUCUUUGACCAGAACCUGAAGCUAGCUCUGGAGGUGGCAGAGAAGGCUGGAACUUUUGGACCUGGGUCAUAGGCUGAACCUGUUAUGGACCCCCAAAUUCUGAGAGUUCCUGCAACAAGAAUACUGCUGUUGACACUCCAGUGGAAAUCCCAGCAGCCUUGUUAGUGCACUUGAAAGUGGGAGAAUGCUGACCCUGAUGACUUGUACUGAUUCCUGAGCCUUAACACUGUGCUCUUUCCUUCUGUAUAUACCAUGGUCUUACUUUCCAACUCUGUACAGAUUUAUUUAUGGAGGAGCUAGGUCCAUAAAUGUUGUAAUAAAUAUUCCUUUGAUCUUGGUGUUUGCAA
rnacentral:lncRNA from 1 species